AUUGAACGCUGGCGGCAGGCUUAACACAUGCAAGUCGAGCGGAGCGAGGGUGCUUGCACCUUAGCUUAGCGACGGACGGGUGAGUAAUGCUUAGGAAUCUGCCUAUUAGUGGGGGACAACAUUCCGAAAGGAAUGCUAAUACCGCAUACGCCCUAAGGGGGAAAGCAGGGGAGCUUCGGACCUUGCGCCAAUAGAUGAGCCUAAGUCGGAUUAGCUAUGUGGUGGGGGAAAGGCCUACCAAGGCGACGAUCUGUAGCGGGUCGGAGAGGAUGAUCCGCCACUCUGGGACUGAGACACGGCCCAGACUCCUACGGGAGGCAGCAGUGGGGAAUAUUGGACAAUGGGCGGAAGCCUGAUCCAGCCAUGCCGCGUGUGUGAAGAAGGCCUUUUGGUUGUAAAGCACUUUAAGCGAGGAGGAGGCUAUUUAGAUUAAUACUCUAGGAUAGUGGACGUUACUCGCAGAAUAAGCACCGGCUAACUCUGUGCCAGCAGCCGCGGAAUAC
rnacentral:rRNA from 1 species